GGAACGCUGGCGGCGUGCUUAACACAUGCAAGUCGAACGGAAAGGCCCGCUUCGGUGGGUGCUCGAGUGGCGAACGGGUGAGUAACACGUGGGUGAUCUGCCCUGCACUUCGGGAUAAGCUUGGGAAACUGGGUCUAAUACCGGAUAGGACCAUGGGAUGCAUGUCUUGUGGUGGAAAGCUUUUUGCGGUGUGGGAUGGGCCCGCGGCCUAUCAGCUUGUUGGUGGGGUGAUGGCCUACCAAGGCGACGACGGGUAGCCGGCCUGAGAGGGUGUCCGGCCACACUGGGACUGAGAUACGGCCCAGACUCCUACGGGAGGCAGCAGUGGGGAAUAUUGCACAAUGGGCGCAAGCCUGAUGCAGCGACGCCGCGUGGGGGAUGACGGCCUUCGGGUUGUAAACCUCUUUCACCAUCGACGAAGCUGCCGGUUUUCCGGUGGUGACGGUAGGUGGAGAAGAAGCACGGCAAUAU
rnacentral:rRNA from 1 species